CAACUUGGAGCCGAAUCCACCC
rnacentral:siRNA from 1 species